UCCUUGGUGGCUCAGAGGUUAAAGCAUCCGCCUGAAGUGUGGGAGACCCAGGUUCGAUCCCUUGGUGGGGAA
rnacentral:tRNA from 1 species